rnacentral:rRNA from 1 species
UACAGAGGUGGCAAGCGUUGUUCGGAAUUACUGGGCGUAAAGGGCGCGUAGGCGGCCAUCUAAGUCAGACGUGAAAUCCCCCGGCUUAACCUGGGAAUGGCAUUUGGGACUGCAAGGCUGGAGUGUGGCAGAGGAGACUGGAAUUCCUGGUGUAGCAGUGAAAUGCGUAGAGAUGUGGAGGAACACCGAUGGCGAAGGCAGCCCCCUGGGCUAACACUGACGCUCAUGCACGAAAGCGUGGGGAGCAAACAGG